rnacentral:tRNA from 1 species
GUUUUAAUAAUUUAAUAAAAAUAUUGGUCUUGUAAACCAAAAAUAAGGAAUACCCUUUUAGAACU